AAUAAACGCUGGCGGCGUGCCUAACACAUGCAAGUCGCGCGAGAAAGUUCCUUCGGGAGCGAGUAAAGCGGCGAACGGGUGAGGAACACGUGAGAAUCUACCAUUCAGUGGAGAAUACCCUCGAGAAAUCGAGGCUAAUACUGCAUACGUCCUACGGGAGAAAGAUGGCCUCUUUGCUAUCGCUGAAUGAGGAGCUUGCGUACUAUUAGCUAGUUGGUGGGGUAAAGGCUUACCAAGGCAAUGAUGGUUAACCGGCCUGAGAGGGUGUACGGUCACACUGGAACUGAGACACGGUCCAGACUCCUACGGGUGGCUG
rnacentral:rRNA from 1 species